rnacentral:rRNA from 1 species
UACGAAGGGGGCUAGCGUUGCUCGGAAUCACUGGGCGUAAAGCGCACGUAGGUGGGUCGUUAAGUCGGGGGUGAAAUCCUGGAGCUCAACUCCAGAACUGCCUUUGAUACUGGCGACCUUGAGUUCGGGAGAGGUGAGUGGAACUGCGAGUGUAGAGGUGAAAUUCGUAGAUAUUCGCAAGAACACCAGUGGCGAAGGCGGCUCACUGGCCCGAUACUGACGCUGAGGUGCGAAAGCGUGGGGAGCAAACAGG